CUACGUGCCAGCAGCCGCGGUAAUACGGGGGGUGCGAGCGUUAAUCGGAAUAACUGGGCGUAAAGGGCACGCAGGCGGUGACUUAAGUGAGGUGUGAAAGCCCCGGGCUUAACCUGGGAAUUGCAUUUCAUACUGGGUCGCUAGAGUACUUUAGGGAGGGGUAGAAUUCCACGUGUAGCGGUGAAAUGCGUAGAGAUGUGGAGGAAUACCGAAGGCGAAGGCAGCCCCUUGGGAAUGUACUGACGCUCAUGUGCGAAAGCGUGGGGAGCAAACAGGAUUAGAUACCCUGGUAGUCCACGCUGUAAACGAUGUCGAUUUGGGGGUUGAGCUUUAAGUUUGGCGCCCGUAGCUAACGUGAUAAAUCGACCGCCUGGGGAGUACGGCCGCAAGGUUAAAACUCAAAUGAAUUGACGGGGGCCCGCACAAGCGGUGGAGCAUGUGGUUUAAUUCGAUGCAACGCGAAGAACCUUACCUACUCUUGACAUCCAGAGAACAUUC
rnacentral:rRNA from 1 species